rnacentral:rRNA from 1 species
GUUUAUGACCAUACCAUUUUGAAUCCAUUCGAUCUUGUCUGACCUCAGAAAUUAAGCAAGGACUGGCCUGGUUAGUAGUUGGAUGAGAGAAAUAUUUGCCCAGGAGACAAAAAGA